GCUCCUCCUGGGGGUGACGGAGCCCUGGGCUCCACCCGCAGGCUGCAGGCCGGAGGCCGAGGGCGGGGGCUGUGUGCGUUCCAGUCCACUCUCCGGGGGACCGUGUGUCGCCAGUGCCCGUCCGCCCGGUCCUCCUCGCCGGACAAUAAUUUAGCGUGGGGGGUCUCGGGGAGAAGUCCUCGGUUUUGGCUGUAGGAGGCUGACGGCCAAGGGUUGGAAUGUUGACUCUCUCAUCUACCCUGUGGCCGUAGGCAAGUUUCCUAACUUCUCAGAACUUCGUUUUCCUCAUUUUUAAAGCCGAGAAAAAUACCAGUGUCGUCAAGUGCCUUCCAGUGCCCGGCACGUGGCAGACCCUCAAUUAUCGGCAGGAACUACCAUUCUCAUCCCAGUUCACUAAUGAAAUGUUUACUGACUCAUUCCAUCUCCUGCUUGUGUCCCUACUCAGUAGACAGGGCUGGCCUCAUUCUCGUUUUACUAAUUAUAAAUGAUUACGAAUGAUCAGAUUAUGAAUUAUUGAGACUGAGGAGUCUCACAGGGCAGGGGCUGUCUUAGGCCUCUUUGUAUCUUUCCCAGGCCUUGAAUAGUGAUUUACACGUUGGUGGAUGAUUUCAUUCAACAAUCACUUCCCGAGGACUGGGUGUGAACAAGGCACUGAUCUGUGGGUACCACCAUGAGCAGGGCCCGGUUCCUGUUUUAAUAGGGCUUGGUCUAAUCAGGGACAACAGUUCGCUAAGGGCUGAGCCAGAGAUGUGACCCGAGGGCCCCUGUUCACUCUGCCUGGGAAGGUGGUGGCCGUCGGACGAAAGCUAAUGGAGGAUUUCAGGCAGCAAACACUAGCACAUUCUCCCUGGCAGCGGGAACAGCAUGGGCAAAGGCAAGUAGAUGAGACAGCGUGUGGUUUGCGAUGACGAGCAAUCUGAUGUGGCCAGAGUGGAGGCCACGUAUUUGGGAAGGGAGUGGUGGGGGGAGAGGGAAAGAGGGGCAGAGUCUGAAGGACGGGACCCUGCAGUCCACAGAGGUGUCAGAGGCAUCGAGCGAGCCAGCAAAAGGCUCAGCGCUGUAGUUCACACCCGGACGAGGUGCGAAUCAGGGUCUGAAAGGAAAAAGGCACAGUUCAGCAUCAUCCGUGGAACACACUCACACCACCACCGAGAGAAAACCACCACCCAUGCUUGGAAGAAAAUGCUGGAAGGAAAUGAGUGAAAACCUUAACAGUGGUUACGUUCAGCUGUGGCCACUGAAGGAACUGGCAGCGAGAGGAGAGACACGGCCACGGCCGCUCAGGCCCAGCGUCUGAGCGCAUCUAAACACCCAGCGUCUAAAGAAACCACCACGGCACCUGCACCAGGGCAACUCUUUGGACUCCUGAAAGCAGAUUUUACCAUCCCAGCUCUGAUGGACCCAGAAGAUAUGAAAGACCAAUUUUUGAGUGAGGUGAGACUUCAGGCCACUUCUGAUUUUGAUCAGUCAGAUGACUUUGACAAUGCAAGGCAAUACUGUGGGAACCAAUAUACCUAGAGAAAAAGCUUUGGAAAAUUAGCUCAUCUGUUCCCAUUGCCAUCACUCUGGCUCAGGGUGACAGGUUGGUGCAUGUGCUGAGACUUUCAGAUCUUUUUCUUAGUCUAACAUUUUUUUCCUGAGCUUUUUUUUUUUUUUUU